GACCGUGAAGCUGUGCAGUGUAAUCAUCAGCUGGCCAGCGGUGCUGAGAAGGGGGCUGGAGAGGCAGGGGGUGUCCGGCCAGGCGCUGGAAUCCUAAAGUACAUCUUUGAAAAUGGUCCAUGGAUCUGUUUGGAGACAAGCCACAAAUGCCCACACGGGGAGCCUCGAAGAAACUACAGGAGUUUCACCACUGGCUGUACAGGAGAACGUUACAUAAAUCCAAUUAACUGUCCUCCAUUUAAAACCCACUCCCACUUCCCAGCUGCGUCUCCUACUCUGCCGUUUUUAGGAGAUAACCUGGAAACCCAGGCAUGCCUACCAGCGAAUGUCCCGGAAAAUUAAAUGCCCGGUAGAACUGUGCCAUGCAGUACUCAUGGAUUCCACCUUUAACCCCUGUAGAGAAAUACUUCCUGCACAUUUCUAACUGGAUUUCUGACAACAAAAUCAUCGUCUAUUUUGACAAAUUUAAGCAAAACACGGCCUCUUUCUUCUCCUCUCCAAACAAGAGCCACAACAUGUACCCGCAGGGUAUGCCGUGACAACUCUCAACACGGUGGGGAAGACAGACAGCGAGGGAGCAAACGAGAACAGGUAGUCACGGACAGCGGCAGGUGCCAUGGUGAAGUUCAGGCAGAAGAACGGGAAAGGAGGCCGGAGAAGGCUGCCGGCCUGUGCCGGGUGGUCAGCAAAGCAGUCUCUGAGUUGAGGACACCUGAG